GAUGAACGCUGGCGGCGUGCCUAAUACGUGCAAGUCGAGCGAACGGACGAGAAGCUUGCUUCUCUGAUGUUAGCGGCGGACGGGUGAGUAACACGUGGAUAACCUACCUAUAAGACUGGGAUAACUUCGGGAAACCGGAGCUAAUACCGGAUAAUAUUUUGAACCGCAUGGUUCAAAAGUGAAAGACGGUCUUGCUGUCACUUAUAGAUGGAUCCGCGCUGCAUUAGCUAGUUGGUAAGGUAACGGCUUACCAAGGCAACGAUGCAUAGCCGACCUGAGAGGGUGAUCGGCCACACUGGAACUGAGACACGGUCCAGACUCCUACGGGAGGCAGCAGUAGGGAAUCUUCCGCAAUGGGCGAAAGCCUGACGGAGCAACGCCGCGUGAGUGAUGAAGGUCUUCGGAUCGUAAAACUCUGUUAUUAGGGAAGAACAUAUGUGUAAGUAACUGUGCACAUCUGGACGGUACCUAAUCAGAAAGCCACGGCUAACUACG
rnacentral:rRNA from 1 species